CUUUAUUGGAGAGUUUGAUCCUGGCUCAGGAUGAACGCUGGCGGCGUGCCUAAUACAUGCAAGUCGAGCGAAUGGAUUAAGAGCUCGCUC
rnacentral:rRNA from 1 species